rnacentral:tRNA from 1 species
GCGAAGAGAGCUCGACUAGGUUUUGAGCAACAGAUUGUGAAUCUGAAGGAUAUGGGUUCAAAUCCCAUUCUUCGCCUA